UCAUUACUGAGUUUACGCUCUAUAACCCUUUGUGAACAUACCUAUAACUGUUGCUUCGGCGGGUAGGGUCUCCGCGACCCUCCCGGCCUCCCGCCUCCGGGCGGGUCGGCGCCCGCCGGAGGAUAACCAAACUCUGAUUUAACGACGUUUCUUCUGAGUGGUACAAGCAAAUAAUCAAAACUUUUAACAACGGAUCUCUUGGUUCUGGCAUCGAUGAAGAACGCAGCGAAAUGCGAUAAGUAAUGUGAAUUGCAGAAUUCAGUGAAUCAUCGAAUCUUUGAACGCACAUUGCGCCCGCCAGCAUUCUGGCGGGCAUGCCUGUUCGAGCGUCAUUUCAACCCUCAAGCUCUGCUUGGUGUUGGGGCCCUACAGCUGAUGUAGGCCCUCAAAGGUAGUGGCGGACCCUCCCGGAGCCUCCUUUGCGUAGUAACUUUACGUCUCGCACUGGGAUCCGGAGGGACUCUUGCCGUAAAACCCCCCAAUUUUCCAAAGGUUGACCUCGGAUCAGGUAGGAAUACCCGCUGAACUUAAGCAUAUCAAUAAGCGGAGGAGGG
rnacentral:rRNA from 1 species